rnacentral:rRNA from 1 species
UACAGAGGGUGCAAGCGUUGUUCGGAAUUACUGGGCGUAAAGCGCGUGUAGGCUGCGGAGUAAGUCGGAUGUGAAAUCCCUUGGCUUAACCAAGGAAGUGCAUCCGAUACUGUUUCGCUUGAGUGUCGGAGGGGAUGGCGGAAUUCCCGGUGUAGAGGUGAAAUUCGUAGAUAUCGGGAGGAACACCUGUGGCGAAGGCGGCCAUCCGGAUGACAACUGACGCUGAGACGCGAAAGCGUGGGUAGCAAACAGG